AGCAAUGCCGCGUGAGUGAAGAAGGUUUUCGGAUCGUAAAACUCUGUUGUGAGGGAAGAACAAGUACGAGAGUAACUGCUCGUACCUUGACGGUACCUCAUUAGAAAGCCACGGCUAACUACGUGCCAGCAGCCGCGGUAAUACGUAGGUGGCAAGCGUUGUCCGGGAUUAUUGGGCGUAAAGCGCGCGCAGGCGGUCCUUUAAGUCUGAUGUGAAAUCCCACGGCUCAACCGUGGAAGGUCAUUGGAAACUGGGGGACUUGAGUACAGAAGAGGAAAGCGGAAUUCCAAGUGUAGCGGUGAAAUGCGUAGAGAUUUGGAGGAACACCAGUGGCGAAGGCGGCUUUCUGGUCUGUAACUGACGCUGAGGCGCGAAAGCGUGGGGAGCAAACAGGAUUAGAUACCCUGGUAGUCCACGCCGUAAACGAUGAGUGCUAAGUGUUAGGGGGUUUCCGCCCCUUAGUGCUGCAGCUAACGCAUUAAGCACUCCGCCUGGGGAGUACGGUCGCAAGACUG
rnacentral:rRNA from 1 species